AAAAAAACGUCUUUUGUGGGAUUUUCACUGCACAGCGGAUUAAAAAAAAAAAAGAAAAGGAAAAAAAAAAAAAGAAAGCUUUUUCCGUCUCUUCAGCUUGGUGGCUGGUCCCUCGCCCUCUCUCUCCUGGCCUGAGCCAGCAGCGCAGGAACCCUCACCACAAUGCUCUGCUGCGGCUCCGGCGCCGAUCUGCCACUUGGCCCUGGACAACGAGCAUCACCGGCUGAGUCUGUAAUGUUACAAAUAUAAAAAGAGAGAAGAGGUCAAGCACCACAUUUCCAGGAUCCUUUGUUAGAAAUUUCAUAUACCUGUCUCAGGCACUAACCAGCCACUCUAAGGACCGGGAUUCGUAAAUUUGUUCUCAAAUUCCUCUCAACGCAACCAGUGGGAUCAAUAAGCUAUCAGGGGGUUUAUGUUUUCAGAUACCUGCGGGGGAAAUGGGGCCAAGCGACCCUGCAAUAUGAAAACUCGUCAGAACAAAGACUCAAUGUCGAUGAGGAGCGGUAGGAGAAAGGAGAGUGUGGGCCCCCGGGAGGAACGCAGAGCUAGG